AUGGCCGCCGCCGCCGCAGCGACGCUCGCCCCGGCCUCCCCUCCGCUGCUGCCCUCCGUCUGCGUCCGCCGCGACGGCCGGCUGCGCCUCACGCCCCGCCGCGCCGCCGGGUGCCGCUGCAGGGCGACGGCGCAGUUCCAGGGCGGCCCCGCCGCCAGCUACGCCCGCGAGAUGGAGCGCCUCUCCGCCAAGGAGUCCCUGCUCCUCGCCUUCAGGGACUCUGGAGGCUUCGAAUCCUUUGUGAGCGGCAAGACCACGGAGAUGCAGAAGAUCGACGUCAAUGAGCGCAUCGUCGGCCUCGAACGCCUCAACCCCACUCCUCGUCCCACAACAUCGCCCUACCUGGAAGGUCGAUGGAACAUUGAAUGGAGGUCACCUACAAGUGUCGCACACUUUACGGGGCUUGAUGUGGUGAUCAGGGAUGGCUACUGCAAAAUUUCCUCAAACGUCAAGCUCUUUAAUACGAUACAAAACAGAUUUGUUCUGACUACUCAGCUGUCUGUGGAGGGGCCUAUCAGGAUGAAGGAGGAGUACGUUGAGGGAUUUUUGGAAACCCCCAAAAUCAGUGAAGAAACACUGCCUGAACAACUGAAGGGCUUAAUUGGACAAACUGCAGGGGCUCUACAACAACUUCCUGCCUCUAUAAGGGAUGCUGUUUCGGAGGGGGUUAAGUUACCUCUUAAUGGGAUGUACCAGCGCUUAUUCAUGAUUUCCUACCUUGAUGAAGAAAUACUGAUAAUCCGAGAUGCUGCUGGAGCACCUGAUGUCCUGACAAAACUGGAAGGGCCGCAACCAAACCCAAUGGAGAACACGCCCGAUGUAGUGAUUCCGGAAUAUCAAAGCUAG
rnacentral:rRNA from 1 species